GUGGGGAAUAUUGGACAAUGGGCGAAAGCCUGAUCCAGCCAUGCCGCGUGUGUGAAGAAGGUCUUCGGAUUGUAAAGCACUUUAAGUUGGGAGGAAGGGCAGUAAGUUAAUACCUUGCUGUUUUGACGUUACCGACAGAAUAAGCACCGGCUAACUUCGUGCCAGCAGCCGCGGUAAUACGAAGGGUGCAAGCGUUAAUCGGACUUACUGGGCGUAAAGCGCGCGUAGGUGGUUUUGUAAGUUGGAGGUGAAAUCCCCGGGCUCAACCUGGGAACUGCCUCCAAAACUGCAUGACUAGAGUACGGUAGAGGGUAGUGGAAUUUCCUGUGUAGCGGUGAAAUGCGUAGAUAUAGGAAGGAACACCAGUGGCGAAGGCGACUACCUGGACUGAUACUGACACUGAGGUGCGAAAGCGUGGGGAGCAAACAGGAUUAGAAACCCCGGUAGUCC
rnacentral:rRNA from 1 species